rnacentral:rRNA from 1 species
UACGUAGGGGGCGAGCGUUGUCCGGAGUUACUGGGCGUAAAGGGCGCGCAGGCGGUCUGGCAAGUUUGGAGUGACAAUGCUCGGCUUAACUGAGCAAGGCCUUCGAAAACUGCUAGACUUGAGCACUCAAGAGGGACAUAGAAUUCCGGGUGGAGUGGUGAAAUGCGUAGAUAUCCGGAGGAAUACCAAAGGCGAAGGCAGUGUCCUGGGGAGUGUCUGACGCUCAGGCGCGAAAGCUAGGGGAGCGAACAGG